rfam:Anopheles quadriannulatus strain QTAD4_A unplaced genomic scaffold supercont1.18, whole genome shotgun sequence.
AGCAAUACUUCGCUAAUACGGGGGUGGAUCCAAAACCUCUAGAAAGUUAACAAAGGCUCUCCAUCCCCUACUCAACACGUCCUCAUAGAACGGCACAGAACGCUAACAUGUCCCUCGAUUAUCCAAGCGGUGGUAUACGGGGAAACCCAACCCAUUGGGCGGAUGGGUUACAUGGCCAAAUUGAGAGGG